rnacentral:rRNA from 1 species
AGAGUUUGAUCCUGGCUCAGGAUGAACGCUGGCGGUAUGCCUUAGAUAUGCAAGUCGAGCGACGUUUUUGCGGGACUUCGGUUCUGAAAAAACGAGCGGCGCACGGCUGAGUAACGCGUAGGAAUCUGCCCCUUACUGGGGGAUAGCUCCGGGAAACCGGUGGUAAUACCCCAUAGUACCCACUUUGUGUGGGUUAAAGGCUUCGGUCGGUAAGGGAUGAGCCUGCGUCCUAUCAGGUAGUUGGUGGGGUAAUGGCCUACCAAGCUUACGACGGGUAGCUGGCCUCAUGAGGGUGGUCAGCCAGAGGGGGACUGAGACGCGGCCCCCACUCCUACGGGAGGCAGCAAUUAGGAAUAGUCGGCAAUGGGCGAAAGCCUGACCGCGCAAUACCGCGUGUAGGAUGAAGCUUUAACGAGUGUAAACUACUGUGGCGAGGGAAGAAGUCGCAAGAUUGACGGUACCUCGCUAGAAAGGAGCCGCUAACUUCGUGCCAGAAGCGUCGGUAAUACGAGGGCUUCAAGCGUUAUCCGGUGUUACUGGGCGUAAAGAGUCGUGUAGGCGGCUUUGUAAGUUACCUUUUAAAUCUUCCGGCUCAACCGGAAACAUGGAGGUGAGACUGCAAAGCUAGAGUUUUCUAUGAGGGUAACUGGAACUAA